rnacentral:ncRNA from 1 species
UUCUGGGGGUGUUUCUGAAUGGUAAUUUUUGUUGAACAUUGUGUUGUGAUGGGGCUACCAACCCUUAACUGUUUGGAGUUUAAAUUGGAAGUGCCCUUCUGGUACGAGGCCUGACCGGAGGCUUUUAAUCUGGUACCACGGGUAACCAGGAGCCCACGGAACUUGUUCCGUCCUGGUUAGUUGGUGCGGCCCUUCGGGGAGUAUCGUGGUGGUUGUGGUUUAACACCCAAAUGCGGGUAGAGCAUCGCUCGACGUGGAGUUGCGUCAUACAACCGGGUUCCGUGACCCAGAUUACGGAAGAGGCUUAGAUAGUCCUCGUGCCAAACCAAGGUAGAAGUCACAACCAAACAGUCGUGUCUUUAAUUGGUACCUGCGGAAUUGUUCCAAGGGGGCGGUGAUUGACGCUUGAAUUAAUCCUAUACUAGGAACCGUGAGAUUAAGCCAUCGCGGCAGGUGCUCACGUUAAGCCCACUGACUUUCAUGUCCCUAUCUACUAUCUAGCGAAACCACAGCCAAGGGAACGGGCUUGGAAUAAUUAGCGGGGAAAGAAGACCCUUUUGAGCUUGACUCUAAUCUGGCAGUGUAAGGAGACAUAAGAGGUGUAGAAUAAGUGGGAGAUAUUAGACUUCGGUUUGGUAUCGACAAUGAAAUACCACUACUCUUAUUGUUUCCUUACUUACUUGAUUAAAUGGAACGUGUAUCAUUUCCUAGCCAUUAUACGGAUAUAAUUAUUAUGUCUUAUGGUAUUGGGUUUUGAUGCAAGCUUCUUGAUCAAAGUAUCACGAGUUUGUUAUAUAAUCGCAAACAAAUUCUUUAAUGAGAGAAUGCAUUUAUGUAUUAUUGAUUUAAAAAUUUGGUAUAACUCCAAUUACUCAGGUAUGAUCCAAUUCAAGGACAUUGCCAGGUAGGGAGUUUGACUGGGGCGGUACAUCUCUCAAAUAAUAACGGAGGUGUCCCAAGGCCAGCUCAUUGCGGACAGAAACCACACAUAGAGCAAAAGGGCAAAUGCUGACUUGAUCUCGGUGUUCAGUACACACAGGGACAGCAAAAGCUCGGCCUAUCGAUCCUUUUGGUUUAAAGAG